rnacentral:rRNA from 1 species
CAAUAGCGUAUAUUAAAGCUGUUGCAGUUAAAAGCUCGUAGUUGGAUCUCGGGUCCAGACUAGCGGUUCACCUCGCGGUGAUUACUGCCCGUUCUGACCUACCUACCGGUUGUCCCUUGGUGCUCUUGACUGAGUGUCUCGGGUGGCCGGAACGUUUACUUUGAAAAAUUAGAGUGUUCAAAGCAGGCAGUACGCCUGAAUAAUGGUGCAUGGAAUAAUGGAAUAGGACCUCGGUUCUAUUUUGUUGGUUUGCGUUACAAAGUAAUGAUUAAUAGGGACAGUUGGGGGUAUUCGUAUUUCGUUGUCAGAGGUGAAAUUCUUGGAUUUCCGAAAGACGAACUACUGCGAAAGCAUUUACCAAGGAUGUUUUCAUUAAUCAAGAACGAAAGUUAGGGGAUCGAAGACGAUCAGAUACCGU